rnacentral:rRNA from 1 species
AAGAGCCUAAACCGGAGCGCGUGCGUUCCGGGGUUAUGGACUGCAAAAGUGAGUUGAAAGCUAGAAGAAAGGUUUUGGGAAAGCCUGCCAGAGAGAGUGAAAGCCUCGUAUUCGAAAGCGGAAGACAGCGGCAGAAUCCGGAGUACCACGAGACACGAGAAACCUUGUGGGAAAUCGGGGGGACCACCCCCCAAGGCUAAAUACUACUUAGUGACCGAUAGCGCAUAGUACUGUGAAGGAAAGGUGAAAAGAACCCCGGGAGGGGAGUGAAAGAGAACCUGAAACCCUGUGUCUACAAGCUGUGGAAGCACCCUAUGAGUGCAACCGCGUACUUUUUGUAGAACGGUCCGGCGAGUUAUGUGGUGUGGCAAGGUUAAGCACAGAAAGUGUGGAGCCGAAGGGAAACCAAGUCUUAACUGGGCGAAUAAGUCACAUAACAUAGACCCGAAACCGGGUGAUCUAUCCAUGUCCAGGUUGAAGCUGCUGUAAAAGGUGGUGGAGGACCGAACGCACAUCCGUUGAAAAGGGUGGCGAUGAGGUGUGGAUAGGGGAGAAAUUCCAAUCGAACUCGGAGAUAGCUGGUUCUCCUCGAAAUAGUUUUAGGACUAGCCUGUCAGGAGUCUGCUGGAGGUAGAGCACUGAAUUUUUGCGGGGGCGUCAAAGCCUACCAAUGAAUAUCAAACUCCGAAUGCCAGCCAGAUGCUCUGAUGGAGUCAGACUGCACGAGAUAAGUUGGGUAGUCAAAAGGGAAACAGCCCAGACCACCAGCUAAGGUCCCAAAGUGCGUGUUAAGUGGAAAAGGAUGUGGGAAUUCGAAGACAACUAGGAUGUUGGCUCAGAAGCAGCCAUUCAUUCAAAGAGUGCGUAACAGCUCACUAGUCGAGAGUUCCUGCGCCGAAAAUGUCCGGGGCUAAAACACGACACCGAAGCUGUGGAAUCAUGCUUGCAUGAUUGGUAGAGGAGCAUUCGCUGAGAGACGAAGCUGUACCGGAAGGAGCAGUGGAUUUCAGUGAAGAGAGAAUGCCGGAAUGAGUAGCGAGAGAUAGGUGAGAAUCCUAUCGGCCGAAUAUCUAAGGUUUCCAGAGUAAAGCUGAUCUGCUCUGGGUAAGUCGGGGCCUAAGGCGAGGUCGAAAGACGUAGUCGAUGGAUAACAGGUUGAGAUUCCUGUACUUCAUGAUAUCAGAAAUGUGGGGACACAGAAGCGAAGCACAAGCCGGGAAUGGAAAUACCGGUGCAAGCUAAGGAGCAGUAUGAGAGGCAAAUCCCUCAUAUAAUGCGAAGACGUGAAGCGUAGCGAAAUAAGGGUAGCGAAGUGUGUAGAGAGGCUGUCAGGAAAAGCCGCUAUUGUGUAUCAUGAACCCGUACCGUAAACCGACACAGGUGGAUGAGGAGAGAAUCCUAAGGCCGACGGAAGAAGCAUUGUUAAGGAAUUCGGCAAAAUGACCCCGUAACUUCGGGAGAAGGGGUGCCUGCGCAAGCAGGUCGCAGAGAAUUGGCCCAAGCAACUGUUUAGCAAAAACACAGGUUUAUGCGAAACCGAAAGGUGAAGUAUAUGAGCUGACGCCUGCCCGGUGCUGGAAGGUUAAGGGGAGUGCUUAGACUUUAGUCGAAGGUGCGAACUUAAGCCCCAGUAAACGGCGGCCGUAACUAUAACGGUCCUAAGGUAGCGAAAUUCCUUGUCGGGUAAGUUCCGACCCGCACGAAAGGCGUAAUGAUUUGGGCGCUGUCUCGACAAUGCAUCCGGUGAAAUUGAAGUACCAGUGAAGAUGCUGGUUACCCGCGCCAGGACGGAAAGACCCCAUGGAGCUUUACUCUAGUUUGAUGCUGGGAUUCGAUACUGCAUGUACAGGAUAGGCGGGAGACUGAGAAGUAGUGACGUCAGUUGCUACAGAGUCGCUGUUGGGAUACCGCCCCUGCAGUAUUGGGUUUCUAACCUGCGGCCGUAAGCCGGUCGGGGGACAACGUCAGGCGGGGAGUUUGACUGGGGCGGUCGCCUCCGAAAGG